rnacentral:rRNA from 1 species
UGGGGGACAACCGUGGGAAACUACGGCUAAUACCGCAUGAUCCCUGAGGGGCAAAGGCGAAAGUCGCCUGAGGAGGAGCCUGCGUCUGAUUAGGUAGUUGGUGGGGUAAAGGCCUACCAAGCCCUGCGAUCAGUAGCUGGUCUGAGAGGAUGAUCAGCCACAUUGGGACUGAGACACGGCCCAAACUCCUACGGGAGGCAGCAGUGGGGAAUAUUGGACAAUGGGCGCAAGCCUGAUCCAGCAAUGCCGCGUGGGUGAAGAAGGUCUUCGGAUUGUAAAGCCCUUUUGGCGGGGACGAUGAUGACGGUACCUGCAGAAUAAGCCCCGGCUAACUUCGUG